UACGUAGGGUGCAAGCGUUAUCCGGAAUUAUUGGGCGUAAAGAGCUCGUAGGCGGUCUGUCGCGUCUGCUGUGAAAACUCGGGGCUUAACCCCGGGCCUGCAGUGGGUACGGGCAGACUAGAGUGCGGUAGGGGAGACUGGAAUUCCUGGUGUAGCGGUGAAAUGCGCAGAUAUCAGGAGGAACACCGGUGGCGAAGGCGGUGGGCUGGGCCGGCACUGACGCUGAGGAGCGAAGCGUGGGGAGCGAACAGG
rnacentral:rRNA from 1 species